rnacentral:rRNA from 1 species
AUUGAACGCUGGCGGCAGGCUUAACACAUGCAAGUCGAGCGGGGUGAUGGUGCUUGCACUAUCACUUAGCGGCGGACGGGUGAGUAAUGCCUAGGAAUCUGCCUAUUAGUGGGGGACAACAUUUCGAAAGGAAUGCUAAUACCGCAUACGUCCUACGGGAGAAAGCAGGGGGUCUUCGGACCUUGCGCUAAUAGAUGAGCCUAAGUCGGAUUAGCUAGUUGGUGGGGUAAAGGCCUACCAAGGCGACGAUCUGUAGCGGGUCUGAGAGGAUGAUCCGCCACACUGGGACUGAGACACGGCCCAGACUCCUACGGGAGGCAGCAGUGGGGAAUAUUGGACAAUGGGCGGAAGCCUGAUCCAGCCAUGCCGCGUGUGUGAAGAAGGCCUUAUGGUUGUAAAGCACUUUAAGCGAGGAGGAGGCUACUCUAGUUAAUACCUAGAGAUAGUGGACGUUACUCGCAGAAUAAGCACCGGCUAACUCUGUGCCAGCAGCCGCGGUAACAC